rnacentral:rRNA from 1 species
ACGAACGCUGGCGGCGUGCUUAACCCCUGCCAGUCGAACGGAAAGGCCCUGCUUUUGUGGGGUGCUCGAGUGGCGAACGGGUGAGUAACACGUGAGUAACCUGCCCUUGACUUUGGGAUAACUUCAGGAAACUGGGGCUAAUACCGGAUAGGAGCUCCUGCUGCAUGGUGGGGGUUGGAAAGUUUCGGCGGUUGGGGAUGGACUCGCGGCUUAUCAGCUUGUUGGUGGGGUAGUGGCUUACCAAGGCUUUGACGGGUAGCCGGCCUGAGAGGGUGACCGGCCACAUUGGGACUGAGAUACGGCCCAGACUCCUACGGGAGGCAGCAGUGGGGAAUAUUGCACAAUGGGCGGAAGCCUGAUGCAGCAACGCCGCGUGCGGGAUGACGGCCUUCGGGUUGUAAACCGCUUUCGCCUGUGACGAAGCGUGAGUGACGGUAAUGGGUAAAGAAGCACCGGCUAACUACGUG